GCCACAGCGGGCUCCUACAUUGCCUCGCAGACGGUGAAGAAGGUGAUUGAGAUCAACCCCUACCUGCUGGGCACCAUGGCUGGAGGAGCGGCCGACUGCAGCUUCUGGG
rnacentral:miRNA from 1 species